AAGACGGAGUGGCCAGGCAUGAGGGUCGUGUAAUAUAUUACAUUUCAGGAAAUCAUUCACUGUUACUGCCUAUGUAUAUAUGAAUCCGAUUCUCUUUGGACUAUAUAGAGAGGAAGGGGCUGUGCUAGAAAGGUUAGUGCAUCUCUUCAAUUUACAGAGAACUUGGAGAUGAACAGAACCAUUGUGUGGCUGAAGAGCUCGCUGUGUCAGCCGUGAGAAGCUCCGUUCAGCUCCGAGCCCAGCCCCGUGCACCUCCCAGCACCAGGAUGGUUUCCUUCAUCCUCUGCCUUCUCCCUGCUCUCCUAGCUACAACGAGUGCACAAACUACCCCAGGUGAGACCCUGACAUGUAACACGUGCUUUGGCCAAACGGACACCUGCAAUUUGGCUCCAGGAACCUGCCAAGACAACAAGGCAACUGGUGGCUGCCUCUCCGUGGCAG